CCUACGGGAGGCAGCAGUGAGGAAUAUUGGUCAAUGGGCGCGAGCCUGAACCAGCCAAGUAGCGUGAAGGAUGACUGCCCUACGGGUUGUAAACUUCUUUUAUAAAGGAAUAAAGUGAGACACGUGUGCCUUUUUGUAUGUACUUUAUGAAUAAGGAUCGGCUAACUCCGUACCAGCAGCCGCGGUAAUACGGAGGAUCCGAGCGUUAUCCGGAUUUAUUGGGUUUAAAGGGAGCGUAGAUGGGUUGUUAAGUCAGUGGUGAAAGUCUGCGGCUCAACCGUAAAAUUGCAAUUGAUACUGGUAGUCUUGAGUGCAGUAGAGGUAGGCGGAAUUCGUGGUGUAGCGGUGAAAUGCGUAGAUAUCACGAAGAACACCGAUUGCGAAGGCAGCUUACUAAACUGCCACUGACAUUGAUGCUCGAAAGUGUGGGGAUCAAACAGGAUUAGAUACCCUAGUAGUC
rnacentral:rRNA from 1 species